rnacentral:rRNA from 1 species
GAUGAACGCUGGCGGCGUGCCUAAUACAUGCAAGUCGAGCGAACGGACGAGAAGCUUGCUUCUCUGAUGUUAGCGGCGGACGGGUGAGUAACACGUGGAUAACCUACCUAUAAGACUGGGAUAACUUCGGGAAACCGGAGCUAAUACCGGAUAAUAUUUUGAACCGCAUGGUUCAAAAGUGAAAGACGGUCUUGCUGUCACUUAUAGAUGGAUCCGCGCUGCAUUAGCUAGUUGGUAAGGUAACGGCUUACCAAGGCAACGAUGCAUAGCCGACCUGAGAGGGUGAUCGGCCACACUGGAACUGAGACACGGUCCAGACUCCUACGGGAGGCAGCAGUAGGGAAUCUUCCGCAAUGGGCGAAAGCCUGACGGAGCAACGCCGCGUGAGUGAUGAAGGUCUUCGGAUCGUAAAACUCUGUUAUUAGGGAAGAACAUAUGUGUAAGUAACUGUGCACAUCUUGACGGUACCUAAUCAGAAAGCCACGGCUAACUACGUGCCAGCAGCCGCGGUAAUACGUAGGUGGCAAGCGUUAUCCGGAAAUAUUGGGCGUAAAGCGCGCGUAGGCGGUUUUUUAAGUCUGAUGUGAAAGCCCACGGCUCAACCGUGGAGGGUCAUUGGAAACUGGAAAACUUGAGUGCAGAAGAGGAAAGUGGAAUUCCAUGUGUAGCGGUGAAAUGCGCAGAGAUAUGGAGGAACACCAGUGGCGAAGGCGACUUUCUGGUCUGUAACUGACGCUGAUGUGCGAAAGCGUGGGGAUCAAACAGGAUUAGAUACCCUGGUAGUCCACGCCGUAAACGAUGAGUGCUAAGUGUUAGGGGGUUUCCGCCCCUUAGUGCUGCAGCUAACGCAUUAAGCACUCCGCCUGGGGAGUACGACCGCAAGGUUGAAACUCAAAGGAAUUGACGGGGACCCGCACAAGCGGUGGAGCAUGUGGUUUAAUUCGAAGCAACGCGAAGAACCUUACCAAAUCUUGACAUCCUUUGACAACUCUAGAGAUAGAGCCUUCCCCUUCGGGGGGCAAAGUGACAGGUGGUGCAUGGUUGUCGUCAGCUCGUGUCGUGAGAUGUUGGGUUAAGUCCCGCAACGAGCGCAACCCUUAAGCUUAGUUGCCAUCAUUAAGUUGGGCACUCUAAGUUGACUGCCGGUGACAAACCGGAGGAAGGUGGGGAUGACGUCAAAUCAUCAUGCCCCUUAUGAUUUGGGCUACACACGUGCUACAAUGGACAAUACAAAGGGCAGCGAAACCGCGAGGUCAAGCAAAUCCCAUAAAGUUGUUCUCAGUUCGGAUUGUAGUCUGCAACUCGACUACAUGAAGCUGGAAUCGCUAGUAAUCGUAGAUCAGCAUGCUACGGUGAAUACGUUCCCGGGUCU